UAUGACAUCAAAACAAAGGGGGUGUAAAUGCAAAUAUAUAUACACUAAACGUAUGUGGACACCCCUUCAAAUUUGUGGAUUUGGCUAUUUCAGCCACACCCAUUGCUGACAGGUGUAUAAAAUCGACCACACAGCCAUGCAAUCUCCACAGACAAACAUUGGCAGUAGAAUGGCCUUACUGAAGAGCACAGUGACUGUCAUAGAAUGCCACAUUUCCAACAAGUCAGUUCGUCAAAUUUCUGCCCUGCUAGAGCUGCCCUGGUCAACUGUAAGUGUUGUUGUAAAGUGGAAACAUCUAGCAGUAACCACGGUUCAGCCAUGAAGUGGAAGGCCACACAAGCUCACAGAACGGGACCGCUGAGUGCUGGAGCGCGUAGCGUGUAAAAAUGGUCUGUUGCAACACUCACUACUGAGCUUUUUUAAAACGAGCAGCUGCACACAAGCCUUAGAUCACCCGGGGGGCAGGCCGGGCCGCAACACAAGGAAGGUAUAUUCUCCCUGAUAACCGGGAGGAGAAUGACCAGUCCACCCAUAAGUGAUGGUGUACGUCAGAGGCUCCAGAAGAGAGCCCAGCAUCGACCACUUUGUCAAGAAAGUCUGAUUCUUCCUGCAACCCCAGCUACAAGCCCAAUGAGGCACUGGAAGUCAGGACAAUGACCCAACACACAUCCAGGCUGUGUAAGGGCUAUUUGACCAAUAAUGAGAAUGAUGGAUUGCUGCAUCAGAUGACCUGGCCUCCACAAUCACCUGACCUCAACUGAAUUGAGAUGGUUUGGGAUGAGUUGGACCGCAGAGUGAAGGAAAAGCAGGCAACAAGUGCUCAUAUGACUGUUGGAAAAGCAUUCCAGGUGAAGCUAGUUGAGAUAAUUCCAUGAGUGUGCAAAGCUGUCAUCAAGGCAAAGGGUGGCUACUUUGACAAAUCUAAAAUCUAUUUUGAUUUGUUUAACACUUUUUUGAUUACUACAUGAUUCCAUGUGUGUUAUUUCAUAGUUUUGAUGUCUUUACUAUUAUUCUACAAUGUUGAAAUAAAGAAAAACCCUUCAAUAAGUAGGUGUGCCCAAACUUUUGACUGGUACUGUAUAUAUAUAUAUAUACACACACACAGUGCCUUCGGGAAAGUAUUCAGAAACCUUGACUUUUUCCACAUUUUGUUAUGUUACAGCCUUAUUAUAAAAUGUAUUAAAUAUUUUUUUCCCCUUCAUCAAUCUACACACAA